rnacentral:rRNA from 1 species
CUGUCAAGUCGGAUGUGAAAUCCCCGGGCUCANCCUGGGAACUGCAUUCGAAACUGGCAGGCUAGAGUCUUGUAGAGGGGGGUAGAAUUCCAGGUGUAGCGGUGAAAUGCGUAAAGAUCUGGAGGAAUACCGGUGGCGAAGGCGGCCCCCUGGACAAAGACUGACGCUCAGGUGCGAAAGCGUGGGGAGCAAACAGGAUUAGAUACCCUGGUAGUCCACGCCGUAAACGAUGUCAAUUUGGAGGUUGUGCCCUUGAGGCGUGGCUUCCGGAGCUAACGCGUUAAAUCGACCGCCUGGGGAGUACGGACGCAAGGUUAAAACUCAAAUGAAUUGACGGGGGCCCNCACAAGCGGUGGAGCAUGUGGUUUAAUUCGAUGCAACGCGAAAAACCUUACCUGGUCUUGACAUCCACAGAACUUANCAAAGAAGCUUUGGUGCCUUCGGGAACUGUGAAACAGGUGCUGCAUGGCUGUCCNANNCUCGUGUUGUGAAAUGAUGGGUNAAAUGCCACAAAGAANNCAAACUAANNCUUUAUUGCANNANGAUCNGCNNANAANCCAGNGGAAAAUGCCAGUGAUAUNCUNANNGAANGUGGGAAUGACNCGAACNACANUNUAGGAGCUACAUAAG